UUCAAAGAAGAUCAAGAAGCAUAUGUAAUUUUGUCAGAUGAUGAAGAUAAUGGGACUGCACCCACAGAGAAAGAAUCACAACCUCAAAAAGAAGAAACAACAGAGGUCUACAUUCCUUAAUUGUUUAAAAA
rnacentral:sRNA from 1 species